rnacentral:rRNA from 1 species
AGAGUUGAUCCUGGCUAGGACGAACGCUGGCGGCGUGCCUAACACAUGCAAGUCGAGCGGAGAAUGCGGAUAUGUUACAUGGAAGCAUUCUUAGCGGCGGACGGGUGAGUAACACGUGGGUAACCUGCCUCAAAGAGGGGGAUAGCCUUCCGAAAGGAAGAUUAAUACCGCAUAAGCCUGCAGUACCGCAUGGUACAGCAGGAAAAGGAGCAAUCCGCUUUGAGAUGGACCCGCGGCGCAUUAGCUAGUUGGUGAGGUAACGGCUCACCAAGGCGACGAUGCGUAGCCGACCUGAGAGGGUGAUCGGCCACAUUGGAACUGAGACACGGUCCAGACUCCUACGGGAGGCAGCAGUGGGGAAUAUUGCACAAUGGGCGAAAGCCUGAUGCCAGCAACGCCGCGUGAAUGAUGAAGGCCUUCGGGUCGUAAAGUUCUUUGAUCAGGGAUGAUAAUGACAGUACCUGAAAAACAAGCCACGGCUAACUACGUGCCAGCCGCUGC